rnacentral:rRNA from 1 species
UACGUAGGGGGCUAGCGUUGUCCGGAUUUAUUGGGCGUAAAGAGCGUGUAGGCGGCCUGGUAAGUCCGCUGUAAAAGUCAAAGGCUCAACCUUUGAAUGUCAGUGGAUACUGCCGGGCUAGAGUCCGGAAGAGGCGAGUGGAACUCCUGGUGUAGCGGUGGAAUGCGCAGAUAUCAGGAAGAACACCAACGGCGAAGGCAGCUCGCUAGGACGGUACUGACGCUGAGACGCGAAAGCGUGGGGAGCGAACAGG